GUCACUUCCAGGCAGGGCCUCGAGGAAGUAGGUGAGCUUCUCCAUCCCUGUCUGUCUAGAUGCAGAGAACCCAAAGCCCUGCAGGAUGGCAAAGCUGCAACAUGGAAGUCACCCGGAUCACCACGUAAAGGAAAUCUCUCCAACCAGGAACAAAUACCUGCCUUGCAAUAUUAGGUGGCCACCAGACUUUCUCUGCUUGUAUCCUCCCAGGACCACAGAACUCAUCGCAUCCCAAGGCAGCCUAUUCCAUCAUGGAUGAGCUCAAAGUGUUUGAAAGUUCUGCUUUAUCAAGUGAGCCAAACUUCCUCCCUCAGGACCA
rnacentral:lncRNA from 1 species